CAAACAUUAGGAGAUUAAAGCAUAACCCACAACCUGAAUUUGAUUCAAAUAUUUAUGAUGUGUGAAGGAAAUCAUUUAACUUCUUGCACGAACAGGAGUUUACAGGCUCAAGAAGCACUCAACUUUAACAUUUGGAUAAUCUCUUAAUUUACCUGAGAGCCCCCAUGAUUGGAUACUGUGUUCCCGCAUAAUAGAGAAGCCGAAAGAAAUAACAGAUUUGGAAUGAUGCUGCAUACUCCAACCUUUUGUCACGACCCAUUGUCUAAAUAAAAAGGGGAAGCAUCAGAAUCGUGCUCUACUCGGAAGUCAUUCCAAAUCGAUGUUUUUAGUACUUACUUGCAUGAUACCACUCGAACCAGGUAAAUCCUGAAAAUUUCAAAGAAAUUCAUCAUCAAAUUACACGAUAAACACAAAAAGUAGUGAGGUAACAUGAUCCAAUUCACAACGAAUGUCUACUUAACACAAAAACAUCAUGUUAUUUUCAUUAUUUCGUAAUUUCAAUUGAUGUCUCAAUGUCUUCCCCCUUCAAUUUACUUCGAUAUCCGGUGACUUCUUGUAUUAAUGGUGGCUUCACCGGCAACACAGAGUGGUGCUGAGCCUAUAAGAAUCCUUGCCUCUCCUUCGUUCUCUCGCGCGCCAAAGCAAAGGAUAGGGAUUCCGUCGUUCUCCCACGCGCCCAAUAAAGCGAAGGGUAGGGAUUCCGUUUAUGGUGUGAGCUUCAGUUCCAAAAAUCACCUACUCAAAACUAUAUAUUUUUGGCAAGAUGAUCCCAGCACAGAUUAAUAGGCAUUGCUAGAAUCUUACAAAGUGUCCAAUUAGGUUUCCCAAAUGUGCGAUAAAAAGGAAGGAUAUUUUAUAUAUGUAGUUUUUUUUUAAUGAAAAAAGAUCAUAUACUAAAAAGCAUUGAUGACCCUAGCAGGAAUGGAGGUUAUUUGGAAUGAUCGAAACCGUGGAGUCCGGUCUUGGCAUUCGCAAUCUCCCCAAUAUCACCUAUGAUUUGUUCUUGUUCACUUUGUUUCAUUACCAACUACGAGAGGGGAACUGUGUUUUAUGUAUCUCUUGGGUGUCUCAAGUCUGUCUGUCUGUCUUUGAUUAAAACCACACUAAAGCUUGAAAUUUUGUAGGGUAGUAGCUAAACUGUGAAUGUGAGAAAGGAACGUACUACAGAAGAUUGAAAGUGAAUAUUUUUUCCAA